GGGAGGAGGGACCGGAGGAGGGGGAGGAGAGACGCCGGUAUCUCCGGGACGUGAGGAGCCACACAGCCGCUGGACGUGUUGGACGCCGCACGGAGCUGAGAGCACCGGGGACCGAAGUACGUUGGACCGGAGGUUCGGUACCGGCUGGAGGGACACCGGCGGGCUGAGACGCUGCGACCGGACAGACUGGAACACCGCAGCCGCUCAUCACUGUGAUUAACAGGAAACCGGAGAGCGGAGAAAGUGAGGCUCCGGGCUCCGGUCGGUCCAGACGGAACGCCGCGGUUCGGACUCACCUGGCGGCUCCGUCACCUGCAGCAGAGCGGGUUCUGAGCCGAGCCGAGCCGAGCCGAGUCGAGUCGAGCCGAGCCGAGCCGAGCUGUGGUUCGACCGAAGAGGGAGAGGAGAACGGAGCGGCACAAAGAGCGGAGAGAUCCAGGGAGGAGGCGGGCUGCCGGGGACCGAGAACCGGAGCUCCAGCAUCCACAGCGACUCGCCCAGCAUCCUCUCAGGGAGUUCUGAUUCUCCACUGUCAUCCCAAUGAAGGAGGCUGACGCCAUCAAGCUGUUCGUAGGGCAGAUUCCACGGAAUCUGGAGGAGAAAGACCUCAAACCCAUCUUUGAACAGUUUGGAAAAAUCUAUGAGCUGACGGUGAUUAAAGACAAAUACACCGGAAUGCACAAAGGAUGUGCCUUCCUGACGUACUGCGCCAGAGAGUCGGCGCUGAAGGCCCAGAGCGCCCUGCACGAGCAGAAGACUCUACCGGGGAUGAACCGACCGAUCCAGGUGAAACCAGCCGACAGCGAGGGCAGAGGAGAGGACAGGAAGCUGUUCGUGGGAAUGCUGGGGAAGCAGCAGAGCGACGAGGACGUCCGGAGGCUGUUCGAGCCGUUCGGCAGCAUAGAUGAGUGCACGGUGCUGAGAGGACCUGAUGGCACCAGUAAAGGAUGCGCCUUCGUAAAGUUCCAGGGACACGCUGAAGCCCAAGCUGCCAUCAACAGUCUGCAUGGCAGCCGCACCAUGCCGGGGGCGUCGUCCAGCCUGGUGGUGAAGUUCGCUGACACUGAGAAGGAGCGAGGCCUCCGGAGGAUGCAGCAGGUGGCAUCCCAGCUCGGCAUCUUCAGCCCCAUGACACUCAACUUCCCAGCCUACAACGCCUACACCCAGGCCGUCAACGCCCAGCAGCUCGUCCAGCAGCAGGCUCUGGUUGCCCAGUCGGCCUACCUGUCUCCCGUGGCAACGGUUGCUGCCGUGCAGAUGCAGCAGAUGGCGGCACUGAAUGCCAACGGGAUCAUCGCCACGCCCAUCACACCCAUCACGCCGUCCUCGGGUACAAACACUCCACCAACCAUCGCUGCCACACCUGUCCCAGCUCUGCCUCCACCAAUCGGAGUCAACGGCUACAGCAGCGUCCCGCCUCCAUCCAACGGACAGCAAACGGAAACACUAUACACCAACGGAGUCCACCCAUACCAAGCUCAGAGUCCAGCAGCAGCUCUGGAUCCUCUCCAGCAGGCGUACGCAGGGAUGCAGCACUACACAGCGGCAUACCCCGCUGCAUACGGAUUGGUCGGACAGCCAUUCCCCCAGCAACCCGCCCUGGUUGCCCAGCAACACCAGCAGCCCCAGCAACAGCAGCAGAGAGAAGGUCCAGAGGGCUGCAACAUCUUCAUCUACCACCUUCCUCAGGAGUUCAGUGACUCUGAGAUGCUCCAGAUGUUUCUUCCCUUCGGGAACGUCAUCUCAGCCAAAGUGUUCGUGGACAGAGCCACCAACCAGAGCAAGUGCUUCGGCUUUGUGAGCUUCGAUAACCCGUCCAGCGCCCAGGCUGCCAUCCAGGCCAUGAACGGCUUCCAGAUCGGCAUGAAGCGGCUGAAGGUGCAGCUGAAGCGACCCAAAGACGCUAACCGUCCGUACUAAGCGCCGCCCUGCUGGAGAUCCUCCCGUCCAAUCAUAAUUCACUGAGGACACCCACAUCGCUAUGGCAACGGUCGCCUAGUGACCAAUAAAGCCCCGACCCCCCCUUCCUCCUCUCGCAUCGUUGAGACCUUUCAGAGUCCAGCCCAGGAGGAAAAGCCCAAAACCCCAGAGCUCAGUUUCAGACCGACUGCUGCCUGCCGACAUCACACACACACACACACACACACACACACACACACACACAUUCUUGUAAAACUACCAUGAGGAGGCCGACUUGGCCCUGUGGUCGUUCAGAGACACCAUGUUCCUGAUGCCCUACAGCUCUAAAAAAAAAAAAAAAAAGAUCAGGCAUGAAGUAAAAAUUCUGCCAAGUAACACGCACAUACAUUACACACACGACAACACACACACACACACACACACAAUCUUGUAAUACUACCAUUAGGAGACCCACUUCAGGGACACCAUGUUCCUGUUGGCCUACAGGGGGAAAAAAUGAAGCAGGAAGUAAAAAAUUCUGCUGAGUAACACAGAGAGAGAGAGAGAAUCAGGGUGUUUCUGGGUGUUUUGGGGUGUUUUUGGGUGUUUUGGUGCAACAGCGACACUCAGAUCCAGAGGGAUGUCGAUCUUUAUCACCAGGAUAAACUCUAUCACACGACUAAUAUACAGGGAUGAUGUUUGAUAAUAAAAAAAUACAUAAAAAUACAAAAAGAAAACAGAAACGAUGAGUAGGUUUAGAGAGACUUUGGAGGAAGAUCCCUAACAAACGUGUACAUAGUUUAGUUUACAAAGAGCAGCAUUUAAAAAGAAAUGCAGAAAGAAUUUAGAUAAACACUGAGCAGGACACAUCAACAUUAUUAUUAUUAUUAUUAUUAUUACCACUAGUAACAUCAUCAUCUCCAUGAAAAGGAUUAUUACAUUCCAAAAGUGUAAAAUGAUGGGAAACAAAUCACUAACCUAUUUUAAAUUUCUACUUUAGAUUUUAGGUGAACCACCACGGGGGGGGCGGGGAGGGAUUUUACUCGGGAGGUUUUAAUAUUUAAUAUUUGAACUAUUUUUAAUUUAUUUAUCAAUUAUUUUGUUUAUGGGGGAUGGGGGAGGGUUCAGUUGCUGAUAUUUUCAUUUUAGAAUUUUCUAGACGAGAAAAAACAGACAUAAAAACGUUGGAGGGCCUGUUUCUGCCAGACUCUCACAAUCGAGUAAUUAUAUGUAUGUAUUAUUAAUUAUUACAGUGAUUAUAUUUAUUUCUAAUUUAUUGAAUCCUGUUUUUUGAUCCACUCUCUCUUUUUAAGUUUAAAUAAAAAGUAUCAUGAC